rnacentral:tRNA from 1 species
GAGGGUAAAGCUUAGUGGUAGAGUGUGUGCUUAGUGUGCACGAGGUCCUGGGUUCAAUCCCUAGUACCUCUA